CGGACCGGCGCACGGGUGAGUAACGCGUAUGCAACCUGCCCGUUUCAGCGGGAUAACCCGGAGAAAUCCGGCCUAAUACCGCAUGUGGCCGAGGGGAGGCAUCUUCUUUCGGCCAAAGGAGGCAACUCCGGAGACGGAUGGGCAUGCGUGACAUUAGCUUGUUGGCGGGGUAACGGCCCACCAAGGCGACGAUGUCUAGGGGUUCUGAGAGGAAGGUCCCCCACACUGGUACUGAGACACGGACCAGACUCCUACGGAAGGCAGCAG
rnacentral:rRNA from 1 species